GACGAACGCUGGCGGCGUGCUUAACACAUGCAAGUCGAGCGAGGCCCCUCCUUCGGGAGGGUGUCCUAGCGGCGAACGGGUGAGUAACACGUGGGCAACCUGCCCUCAGCUCUGGGAUAACUCCGGGAAACCGGGGCUAAUACCGGAUACGACCUCCACGGGCAUCUGCGGAGGUGGAAAGUUUUUCGGCUGAGGAUGGGCCCGCGGCCUAUCAGCUAGUUGGUGGGGUAGUGGCCCACCAAGGCGACGACGGGUAGCCGGCCUGAGAGGGCGACCGGCCACACUAGGACUGAGACACGGCCCAGACUCCUACGGGAGGCAGCAGUGGGGAAUAUUGCGCAAUGGGCGAAAGCCUGACGCAGCGACGCCGCGUGAGGGACGAAGGCCUUCGGGUUGUAAACCUCUUUCAGCAGGGACGAAGCGAAAGUGACGGUACCUGCAGAAGAAGCACCGGCCAACUACGUG
rnacentral:rRNA from 1 species